GACGAACGCUGGCGGCGUGCUUAACACAUGCAAGUCGAACGAAGUGGCGCACGGGUGAGUAACGCGUAAUCAACCCGCCCUUCAGAGGGGGACAACAGUUGGACACGACUGAUAAUACCGCAUCCUGAAGGAGGGGAUUGCGUUUGAUGAGCUAGUUGAGGGGGUAACGGCCCACAAAGGCGAUGGUCAGUAGCCGGUCUGAGAGGAUGAACGGCCACAUUGGGACUGAGACACGGUCCAGACGCCUACGGGAGGCAGCAGUGGGGAAUAUUGGACAAUGGGCGAAAGCCUGAUCCAGCCAUGCCGCGUGUGUGAAGAAGGUCUUCGGAUUGUAAAGCACUUUAAGUUGGGAGGCGUUACCAACAGAAUAAGCACCGGCUAACUUCGUGCCAGCAGCCGCGGUAAUAC
rnacentral:rRNA from 1 species